rnacentral:lncRNA from 1 species
GAACAGUGUCUGCAUGUUGGGGUCUAUUCCACCUUAGAAUAGGCUAAUUAGCCCAUUCUAAGGUGGAAAGUGUGAACAGGCCCUUUGUCUGCCUGGUUCUCCCACAGUUCAGCUUCACUGGGUGGUCCCUAGUUCUAAUGUUUUCUGUAAACACCAUGCAUGUCCCUAUCGUGUCCUAUCUUGCUCACCACCGUUCUAGACUAAGAUACACCAGCUGCUACAAGCUUUCCUCACAGGAGUGCCCUGUUGCAGGCUUGGUGAAAAGGAAGACAGUAGUUAGUGUACUUACUUACANAAGGAAGGUCCUCAAUUCAAAACUGUUGAGAAACACGGUCCUUGUCUUCUAUGGGAUUUCCUCUUGCUCCUUCUGUUCUCAUUUCAAGAUUAAUCUCUUCAGUUCUCCUGCAUGCUGUCCACCUUUACCUAUGAUGGAAUCCAAGAGAAAAAAAAUGUCUACCAACUCUUCUUCAACAUCAACAUUUUCCCUGCUUUGAUUGUUUCUCCAUGAGCAACUGUCUCUCUGAUUCUAUUUCCGCCACCUGUUCUACUCACCAUCUGGACCAAUAUAAUCCAUUCCAUCACCUUCCUGGACCAAUGUCUUUUUCCUAAACUGAAUGCUCCUCAACUUUUCUUCACCCACAUUUAGUAGACAAGUUGGAAAAGAGAUGAUGGGAAUGAAACUUGAUUGGAAGGUUAGAAAAAAGACUAAUGAGUGAGGUGUAUAAAAGACUUCUCUAUCUUUUCAAGUUCUGAUCCCCAGAUGUGAAGAAGUUUGGGGAGGAAAAUUUUCUUAUUCAUACAAUAGAAUCCCCCAAGAAAAACAAUAAAACAAGUAAAUAUCUGAUAGGAUUUAUUUNU